rnacentral:tRNA from 1 species
GGAGGAAUAGCGAAGUGGUCAUAACGCGGCGGUCUUGAAAACCGUUUGAGAGCAAUCUCACGGGGGUUCGAAUCCCUCUUCCUCCGCCA